rnacentral:lncRNA from 1 species
GGAGCAAGAGGAGGACACAUUGCCAGCGGUGCCUGCAGAUGCCAGUACAGCCCUCUCCGGUGGCAAGGUCCCUUCGAUUUUCUGUUGGAGCUUUUUGGUCUUUUGGGGAUGAGCUGCCAAUGGCGUUGCUACCUUCCCUGUUGCCAUGGCAUGCCAGGCUUUGGAGAUGCGGCGGCUUUAUGCCAAAGGCAUUCCGUUUCGGACUGCGUUUCAGCAUGGGAGGUGAAUGCCCAGGACGUUCAGCCAGCAUGCUUACCAAGUAAAGGCCAGCCACAGAGGUUGGGUCACACUGGAAAACCCUGGCCUGGAUGGCCCUGCAACUGCUAACUCCUCAAAUGUUACAUGCUGUUUAGAGCAGUUGCUGAACGCUCCGCAAGUUCUUCCCGGCAUAGGAAAGAGGCCGUCUUUUCCCUUUGCCUUGCCUUCCUUUUUCGCUUCUUCUCCCUCUCGCCUUGCUGCCAGCACAAUGGCACUUGAGUGCCUCUCGCCAUUUCCCUGGUGCACCAAGUAAGAGGACGAUGCUCGAUUUCAAAGACAGAACUGCUUAGGUAAUGCUUUGGCGUGCUGCUUCUGCUAUCUCUGUGCAGCCGUAUGCAGAGGAAAGCGAAGGCGGCCCACAUCGCCCUCAGAGAGCCUAGCAGAGAAGAGGAGGAGAUGUUCAGCCGCUGCUGAGAAGGAAACUAACAUCUGGCUCAGGGUAGGUUGCAGCUCACUCAUCUGCCUUUGUACAUGAGAGUUGUGUUGCACUGCCUCCUUUGUUGUGUCCCAACACAUCGAGAGCCUGUUCAGAAGAUCCCGUGCAGCUGUAAACUUGUACUGUCUGGCUUUUUUCUUCAGCAGCUGCUGAAUGACAUUGGCGAGGCAACCAAGGACUGCAGCAUACGCCACCUCGAGAAACUCCAUCUGGUGCUCAGCCAGUGCACUUACCGCCACCGGCAGGACAAUGACAGAACUCGCUUAAUAGAGGAAAUGAAGGAAGCAAUUGGAAACUUCUCCCGUGCUCCUAACGUGAAACUCAGGAAAGGGGCGCCUGGAAGACAGGAAUAAAGCUCAUCUAAAUCCUUUGAAGUUGUCUUCCUGGCUACCUUGUCAUUGUUGCUGCUUCAGAAGCCUCGCAAUGCUGUUCAGAGGCCCCUUUUGCAUCCCUCCUCCCUGAUGCUCUGACCCACACAUUGCUUACUCAGUCCUGCAUGGGUCCAUAACCCCAAAUCCUCAGGUCUGCCCCAUCACUUAAAAAGUCCAGGUUAUCCCUCUGCCAGACUAUGCUUGUAGUUGCCUCAGGGCCAGUUAAGGAGAGACUGGAGACUUUGGGUCUUUGCCGUUGUCUGUUCUCCCUUGCCUGUCAGGUUCAGGUCUCUGUUGUGUUUUCUUCCCACUUCCCCCUUGAUCAGAUAACCUGAAUGAAGCAGAGGGUCUCACUAGCC